CCUACGGGAGACAGCAGUGAGGAAUAUUGGUCAAUGGGCGGGAGCCUGAACCAGCCAAGUCGCGUGAGGGAAGACGGUCCUAUGGAUUGUAAACCUCUUUAGGCGGGGAGCAAUGCCGGGCACGCGUGCCCGGAGGGAUAGUACCCGCAGAAUAAGCAUCGGCUAACUCCGUGCCAGCAGCCGCGGUAAUACGGGGGAUGCGAGCGUUAUCCGGAUUUAUUGGGUUUAAAGGGUGCGUAGGCGGAUUUUUAAGUCAGCGGUAAAAUGUCCGGGCUCAACCCGGGCCGGCCGUUGAAACUGGGGAUCUUGAGUGGGCGAGAGGUAUGCGGAAUGCGUGGUGUAGCGGUGAAAUGCAUAGAUAUCACGCAGAACUCCGAUUGCGAAGGCAGCAUACCGGCGCCCGACUGACGCUGAGGCACGAAAGCGUGGGGAGCGAACAGGAUUAGAUACCCGAGUAGUC
rnacentral:rRNA from 1 species